rnacentral:tRNA from 1 species
GACGUAAUAGUAUAGAUUUUGUAAGUCAAAGGAUAUAAGGAUUUACUCCU